ACACUCCUGCGGGAGGCAGCAGUGGGGAAUUUUGGACAAUGGGCGAAAGCCUGAUCCAGCAAUGCCGCGUGUGUGAAGAAGGCCUUCGGGUUGUAAAGCACUUUUGUCCGGAAAGAAAUCCUUGGCUCUAAUACAGUCGGGGGAUGACGGUACCGGAAGAAUAAGCACCGGCUAACUACGUGCCAGCAGCCGCGGUAAUACGUAGGGUGCGAGCGUUAAUCGGAAUUACUGGGCGUAAAGCGUGCGCAGGCGGUUUGCUAAGACCGAUGUGAAAUCCCCGGGCUCAACCUGGGAACUGCAUUGGUGACUGGCAGGCUAGAGUAUGGCAGAGGGGGGUAGAAUUCCACGUGUAGCAGUGAAAUGCGUAGAGAUGUGGAGGAAUACCGAUGGCGAAGGCAGCCCCCUGGGCCAAUACUGACGCUCAGGCACGAAAGCGUGGGGAGCAAACAGGAUUAGAAACCCGUGUAGUCCCAUGA
rnacentral:rRNA from 1 species